rnacentral:hammerhead_ribozyme from 1 species
AUCCAGCUGACGGGUCCCAAAUAGAACGAAAGACGCAUCUAAACUGGAU